AAAGUGUUCUUGCUACGUGUUCAUUGCUGGAUAAGAUAUUCAUAAACCGAGCCUUAAAAAAUUGCAAAGAACAGUUUGGUGAAAAAGAGUGAAUUUUGAAGAAAAAAACUUGAAGAUGUUUUGUUGUAAAUUGCACGUAGAGAACCAAGUGAUCAUAAUCUAGCGCACAGACAUUGAACUGCCAUUUGUUACAUUGUUAAUGAAUUUUUAUAUCAUGUUCUGAAUCAUCAAUUAUCUGUUAUGUCUCACAAUAGUCUUUGAAAGAGCGUAUAUGUGCAUUCUUGAUUGCAUAAAAAUUUCUCGAAAUGUGUUAACAUAUAUAUUAAAAUAUUGUAUGAAUGUGUUGAUUGAGUUUUAUUCAAAGCUAUACAAUGCCUCCAUUCUGUAACCUAAUGUCUUUCGAAAUAAACAACAAAGUUAACUUU
rnacentral:misc_RNA from 1 species